rnacentral:rRNA from 1 species
UGCCAGCAGCCGCGGUAAUACGGAGGGGGUUAGCGUUGCUCGGAAUUACUGGGCGUAAAGCGCACGUAGGCGGACUGGAAAGUUGGGGGUGAAAUCCCAGGGCUCAACCCUGGAACUGCCUCCAAAACUCCUGGUCUAGAGUUCGAGAGAGGAGAGAGGAAUUCCUGGUGUAGAGGUGAAAUUCGUAGAUAUCAGGAGGGACACCGAUGGCGAAGGCAUCUCUCUGGGCCGAUAUUGACGCUGAGGCACGAAGGCGUGGGUAGCGAACGGGAUUAGAUA